rnacentral:rRNA from 1 species
CUACCCGCUGAAUUUAAGCAUAUUAAUAAGCGGAGGAAAAGAAACUAACAAGGAUUCCCCCAGUAACGACGAGUGAAGCGGGAAGAGCUCAAAUUUGAAAUCUCCGAUGCCUGCAUCGGCGAGUUGUAGUUGCGAGAAGCACUUUCUAGGCGGAGGGGCCCUGCCUAAGUUGCUUGGAACGGCCCGUCGCAGAGGGUGA